UAUAAGACUGCCUGUUCCUGCAGCUCUUCAUCAAAGUACUGCAGCCUCUCACCACAGCCCACCUUACUCAACACCUGAUGGGUCACUCACAAGGACCAUUCAAGGCCUCUGCACCCUGAACCACGAGAUGAGGGUGAACACAUCAGCCUGGUCUGAGAGAAAACCAGGUGGUGGCAUCCUCCACUCCCAGGCGUUGCCGUGAAGACGAACGACACCAGAUAAGGAGCGGAAAGUUACCAUCCCAGCCCAGGACCAGACUGCGGGGAGGGCAGCCACUUUUACCAUGCAGCCAUACAUAUAAAAACCUUGUGUUACCGGGAAGCUCUUGUCUUCUUCUUGGGCUAUCCUGCCAGAAGACACAUGUCUCGUGUGCGGCAGAUACCUAGAUAAGAACCGGACAUCUGUAUUGCACAUUAUUUUGUAAUAAAUCCAUUUGAUGUUAA